rnacentral:tRNA from 1 species
UGCUCUGUAAUUCAAUCGGUAGAAUGCCAAACUGUUAAUUUGGAGGUUGCAGGUUCGAGUCCUGCCGGAGCAG